rnacentral:lncRNA from 1 species
GUUUGAACAUUCGGAUACCAUCAGCAAUCUCGUCCUUCAAUCCUCCCAUGAAUGUUCCCACAAGUGCUUUUUGAGUCCAUCCACGAACUCGGUUGCCUAACCUCUCAAACUCACGUUGAUAGUCCCUUAGAGAGCCGACUUGUCUGACCCGAGAAAGAGCCUCGUCAAAAUCUUCACACUCUGAUGGUCCAAAACGUGCCCAUAGCUC